GGAGGGGUGUCAGAGCGGACGAAUGAGGUAGUCUUGAAAACUACUGUGGGGCAACUCACCGUGGGUUCGAAUCCCACCCCCUCCGCCA
rnacentral:tRNA from 2 species